rnacentral:rRNA from 1 species
ACACUCUGCGGGAGGCAGCAGUGGGGAAUAUUGGACCAUGGGCGCAAGCCUGAUCCAGCCAUGCCGCGUGAGUGAUGAAGGCCCUAGGGUUGUAAAGCUCUUUCACCGGUGAAGAUAAUGACGGUAACCGGAGAAGAAGCCCCGGCUAACUUCGUGCCAGCAGCCGCGGUAAUACGAAGGGGGCUAGCGUUGUUCGGAUUUACUGGGCGUAAAGCGCACGUAGGCGGACUAUUAAGUCAGGGGUGAAAUCCCGGGGCUCAACCCCGGAACUGCCUUUGAUACUGGUAGUCUUGAGUUCGAGAGAGGUGAGUGGAAUUCCGAGUGUAGAGGUGAAAUUCGUAGAUAUUCGGAGGAACACCAGUGGCGAAGGCGGCUCACUGGCUCGAUACUGACGCUGAGGUGCGAAAGCGUGGGGAGCAAACAGGAUUAGAAACCCUAGUAGUCCCAUGAU